CGAGCCUGGCCGAGCCUGGCUUCAAGCGGCGAGGAAAGCGAGGCUGAAUUAGUAGAACAAUUCAAACGCUUCUAAAACGCUCUGAAGCUACAGGUUCUAGCCGGAGCCACAGGCAGUACCGGGGGUGAUGCGGUGCCAGCCCAGCUCUUCCCUCUUCCCCUCCCUCCGGCGAGCCCGUGUGAGAGCUGUCCCGAGAGUGGCAUCGCCAGCUCUCCAGCCAAGCUUUCCUCUUUAAAUCUCAUCUUUAGCACUUGUUUUGUUUUUGUUUGUUUUUUUUUUUCCAGUUCUGUGAGACUGUGAAGAUGAUUAUUCGGGACCAGAGGAGUGUGCUCGCCUCGGUGCUUGUGGGACUAGCGUCAAUUGUCUGCCUAGCUCACAUCCUCCUGGGCCAAAGGUGCAGCGAGGCAGGCAGCGUCUCCCCAGGGUCCGGUGUCCAGACUAGAGUGGAAAAAUCCCAAAUCAAUCACUACCAGCUCAACGUGGUGUGAAGAGAGUCGCAGCAUCUCCCGGCUGCCAGGACAAGAGGCGUGGAACUCCUCCAAAAUGAGAACUGCCGUGGCUGACCAAGAGCUUUUUUAGAUAACAUACUCCCACCUAGCGGCCCUCUUAGAGUCAGGAACACGCACAGUCUCCAGCAAAUUCUGAAGUUAUCUAUGGAACUCGCAUUUAAAGGAGGAGUAAGUCAGAUAUUUACUAAGUCGAUAUAACUGCUCAGGAAGUCUAGAAAUGUUGAUUUUGAAUUCCUGUUUAACUGCUGUAACAUCUAACCAGAAAUCAGGAAGGAACAGAUAAACUGCAUAACAUUGAUUCUA